GAGAGUGUAGCUCAGUGAUAGAGCGCAUGCUUAGCGUGCACAAGGUCCUGGGUUCAAUCCUCAGUACUGCCA
rnacentral:tRNA from 1 species